GAUGAACGCUGGCGGCGUGCCUAAUACAUGCAAGUCGAGCGAACAGACGAGGAGCUUGCUCCUCUGACGUUAGCGGCGGACGGGUGAGUAACACGUGGAUAACCUACCUAUAAGACUGGGAUAACUUCGGGAAACCGGAGCUAAUACCGGAUAAUAUAUUGAACCGCAUGGUUCAAUAGUGAAAGACGGUUUUGCUGUCACUUAUAGAUGGAUCCGCGCCGCAUUAGCUAGUUGGUAAGGUAACGGCUUACCAAGGCAACGAUGCGUAGCCGACCUGAGAGGGUGAUCGGCCACACUGGAACUGAGACACGGUCCAGACUCCUACGGGAGGCAGCAGUAGGGAAUCUUCCGCAAUGGGCGAAAGCCUGACGGAGCAACGCCGCGUGAGUGAUGAAGGUCUUCUGAUCGUAAAACUCUGUCAUUAGGGAAGAACAAAUGUGUAAGUAACUAUGCACGUCUUGACGGUACCUAAUCAGAAAGCCACGGCUAACUACGUG
rnacentral:rRNA from 1 species